rnacentral:rRNA from 1 species
GACGUAGGUGGCGAACGUUAUCCGGAAUUAUUGGGCGUAAAGGAUGCGUAGAUGGUGUAGUAAGUUAUCGGUGGCAAAUCGAGGUUCAACCUCGUGGAAGUCGGUAAUACUGCUAUGCUAGGAGGAUAGGAGAGGUUAACGGAACUCCUGUGGAGCGGUGAAAUGCGCAGAUAUCAGGAGGAACACCGGUGGCGAAGGCGGGUCUCUGGGCCGAUAUUGACGCUG